CCUACGGGAGGCAGCAGUGGGGAAUAUUGGACAAUGGGCGAAAGCCUGAUCCAGCCAUGCCGCGUGUGUGAAGAAGGCCUUCGGGGUGUAAAGCACUUUCAGUGGGGAAGAAAGCCUUGGGGCUAAUACCCUCGAGGAAGGACAUCACCCACAGAAGAAGCACCGGCUAACUCCGUGCCAGCAGCCGCGGUAAUACGGAGGGUGCGAGCGUUAAUCGGAAUUACUGGGCGUAAAGCGCGCGUAGGCGGUCUGAUAAGCCGGUUGUGAAAGCCCCGGGCUCAACCUGGGAACGGCAUCCGGAACUGUCAGGCUAGAGUGCAGGAGAGGAAGGUAGAAUUCCCGGUGUAGCGGUGAAAUGCGUAGAGAUCGGGAGGAAUACCAGUGGCGAAGGCGGCCUUCUGGACUGACACUGACGCUGAGGUGCGAAAGCGUGGGUAGCAAACAGGAUUAGAUACCCGGGUAGUC
rnacentral:rRNA from 1 species